UACGUAGGGUGCAAGCGUUAAUCGGAAUUACUGGGCGUAAAGGGCUCGUAGGCGGCCAACUAAGUCGGACGUGAAAUCCCCAGGCUCAACCUGGGAACUGCGUCCGAUACUGGAUGGCUUGAAUUCGGGGAGAGGGAUGCAGAAUUCCAGGUGUAGUGGUGAAAUGCGUAGAUAUCGGGAGGAACACCGAGUGGCGAAGGCGGCUUAGCCUCGGCCGUGUUCCUU
rnacentral:rRNA from 1 species